rnacentral:rRNA from 1 species
GUGCCGUGAUAGUAAUUCAACCUAGUAUGAGAGGAACCGUUGAUUCACACAAUUGGACAUCGCACUGAGUUGAAAAGCCAAUGGUGUGAAGCUACCGUGCGCCGGAUUAUGACUGAACGCCGAAUCCAAGCUAGCAAGCGGCGC